GUGGAAACAUGCGGAUCCUGUUCAACCAACCCUCCUGAGCACAAAGUAAACACAGAUGGUAAGGGGAAAGAGCUCAACAAAAAACUAAAACAGAAGGACAUAGAGCCCCGCAGAAAAAGGAAUACAAAUAAAAAUUCUGCAUCUAUGGAAAGUGCUAGGAGAGCAAAAAAGCAUCCAUGAUCUCCCUGGAGAUUGCUGCGGUCAUGAGGCACUUUGGCGAACACAUCAAGAAAGGACAACUGGCCACUAUAAUAGAAUGCCAGCAUUAUCUUUUUGAUUUAACAAUAGACCCAUAAUUCAUUUAACUUUGCCAUUCACAGAUUUUCCUUUAUGUUCACAAACAGAAUUGUUGCUCUAGUUCUUAGUGAAGGUGCUGUAAAUAAAGUCCACUUUCUGUGUAGCCAUAUUCCAUAUUUCCAUGUUUGGACUUAAUACAUAUAUAUUUCAUGUUUGUGUAUGCUGUGGUCCUGAUAAAUAAAAUUGGCCCUGACAAUUACUGUUGGUAUCAUGGGCGGAGCCAAGCACCUCAUUAUCGUCUGUCCUUCUAAUACAGCAUUGCAUCAGGUUCUUGUA